AUAAAAUAUAAAAAUUAUUGAUUCCAAAUUUUGAGCAGUUUCUUUACUAAAUAUGUUGCCCUUUUUAACUUGUAUGAUCUAUCAAUGUGCAGAAACCUCACAGUCCUGUACCUAUAUGACAACCAAAUAUCACAAAUCUGCAACUUUGGGUUUGCCUCAAACCUUACACAAUUAUACAUGCAAAAUAACAAUAUAUCUUGCAUAAAGAACCUCUCUUCUCUGCAUAACCUUUCCAAAUUGUAAGUAUGAAAAUACAUGCAUAUUAACACAUUCCUGCUUGCACUGAAAUUUGAACUGUGACAUUAAUGUUUUCCAUUGAAAAUAUACAUACAGCACUACUAAAUGGCCAUGAGUGUUAGCGUUAACUACUAAUGUUUCUAUAUUUGAGGUUCUUGGGAGGAAACAGCAUCACUGUGGUGGACAGAUUAGAUGAAAAGCCUGAAGUAGCUGCAUGUGGAAGGUCAGAAUCUGACCCGUGGAGAAAAGCUGGUCUUUGACCCCCGUUCCGUAUCUAGACUCUCUGAAACUCUGUGCAUUUUAAAUAUCAGCAAAAAUAACACUGAUGAAAUAUGGGACUUGGCCCCUCUCAGAAAACUGACCUAUCUUUAUGCUACUGAUAACCAGCUACAGGACAUACAGAAGAUCUUGAUGGAAAACAAAUAAAUGAGCUGUCUAGGCAGUUUCUAAUCAACUGGAAGCUUGAGAAAAAAAAACCCAAAGAACAACCUAGAUGAUGGAAAAGACAUCAAAGAACCAAUCACAAAUCCACUUACAACUGAUUUUCGCAUGGGCCCCCUUCAUCCCUUUGCCCAUGAACGCAGCAGCGCUCUGAGCCGUCAGAAUAUGGGAAGCCCGGCGUUACAUUUCGAGUACAAGGAGACAGCAGAGAAAAAAGGUCAAGAGGGAUACAUUUUCCACUGAGGACUGACAGACUCUAAAAAUCUGAAACUACUGAAUAAAAAUGUGAAUAGCUUCUCAAUGUAUACUCU